rnacentral:lncRNA from 1 species
AAUCGGAGAGUCAUUAGUCUGAGCAUUCUACAUCAUCUGAGAAAUUGAAGAACAAAGAGGAUUGACAGGUGUUACGAACAGGAGGCAUCGAGAAAUAUGUACCUACAUACUUGAUCCAAAGAUCAUGAUGUGACUGGAGCGAGUACAGGGAACACCGAGUUGAUUACCAUGGUAGUGCUGCUGGAGUUCACAAUUGAGCGGAAGCAAAAUCAUAUAAUCUUACAACCAUAGACGAGUGCAUGCUUGAUUUUGCUUUGCAAAUUUGCACUGAUGUUUGUAAUUAAGGAAAGCUGGCCAUCCACAAGACGUGAUAUGGAGCUUUUGCUACAGCUUAUUACCUAUUUUGCAGUUUUCAAGUCUUUCUGGAACUAUGACUAACAUCUGUAUAUUUGUUGCUAUGUACAUAU